GCCUGGAUGGCUCAGUGGUUGAGCAUCUGACUUCAGCUCAGGGCAUGAUCCCGGGGUCCUGGGAUCGAGUCCCGCAUCAGGCU
rnacentral:tRNA from 1 species